rnacentral:rRNA from 1 species
UGGGGAAUAUUGCGCAAUGGGCGAAAGCCUGACGCAGCAACGCCGCGUGGGUGAAGAAGGCCUUCGGGUUGUAAAGCCCUUUCGGCCGGGAAGAAGUGUGCAGCAACUAAUAAUUGCUGUAUGUGAUGGUACCGGAGGAAGAAGCACCGGCAAACUUCGUGCCAGCAGCCGCGGUAAUACGAAGGGUGCAAGCGUUGUUCGGAAUUAUUGGGCGUAAAGGGUUCGUAGGUGGGAGUAUAAGUUGAUUGUGAAAACCCCGGGCUUAACCUGGGACGUGCAGUCAAAACUGUAUUUCUUGAGAUUUGGAGAGGGUGAUGGAAUUGCUGGUGUAGGAGUGACAUCCGUAGAGAUCAGCAGGAACGCCGGAGGCGAAAGCGAUCACCUGGCCAAAAUCUGACGCUGAGGAACGAAAGCGUGGGGAGCAAACAGG